UGAACGCUAGCGGCAGGCCUAAUACAUGCAAGUCGGACGGGAUUGAAGAGCUUGCUUUUCAUGAGAGUGGCGCACGGGUGCGUAACACGUAUGUAACCUACCUUAAUCUGGGGGAUAGCCUCUCGAAAGAGAGAUUAACACCGCAUAACAUUAUUGAAUAGCAUUAUUUAAUAAUCAAAUAUUUAUAGGAUUAAGAUGGGCAUGCGGAACAUUAGCUAGUUGGUAAGGUAAUGGCUUACCAAGGCUACGAUGUUUAGGGGAUCUGAGAGGAUGACCCCCCACACUGGUACUGAGACACGGACCAGACUCCUACGGGAGGCAGCAGUAAGGAAUAUUGGUCAAUGGGCGCAAGCCUGAACCAGCCAUGCCGCGUGCAGGAAGACGGCCCUACGGGUUGUAAACUGCUUUUGUACCGGAAUAAACUUUGAUACGUGUAUCAAGCUGAAUGUAC
rnacentral:rRNA from 1 species